UACGGAGGGUGCAAGCGUUAAUCGGAAUUACUGGGCGUAAAGCGUGCGCAGGCGGUUUGUUAAGUCCGUUGUGAAAGCCCCGAGCUCAGCUUGGGAAUUGCAGUGGAUACUGGCAGGCUGGAGUACGGUAGAGGAAGGUGGAAUUCCCGGUGUGGCAGUGAAAUGCGUAGAGAUCGGGAGGAACACCAGUGGCGAAGGCGGCCUUCUGGACCAGUACUGACGCUCAUGCACGAAAGCGUGGGGAGCAAACAGG
rnacentral:rRNA from 1 species